GUGUGGGUCCUGGGUGCAUUUUUUACCAGCGUUAUUAUGGGAGGGGUGAAGGCCUCCAGGUGAAGGGGGUCUCAGGUCCACCAGGUCUGAAAAAGAGCCAGCCGCUUUAAGGCUGGCCUUUUAAGGGAUUAUUUCCAGAAUUCCCGGAAGGUGACCAGGCUGCGUGCUCCAUCUCCCGCACCCGCAGCGAGGGGGGCCAGGCUACCCGCCCGCCCGCGGGGCCCCACGACCUGGACACGACGCCCUGGCGGCAGGCCGGCUCCGCGGCUCGGGGACCCCGGCACUCCCUGGACAGGUGGUUAGCGGUCGUGACGCCCUGGACGAGGCUCCCUGGGCCUUUCUAGACUCUUCGCAGGAGCUCCCGCAAGCUCGCUCGGUUUCCCGGACGGCCGUGCAGGGGCUUGCACAGGGCUCGUUGCGUCUCGAAGGAUGGUCCCGGUUUGCGGGCCAGUCGCCUUCAGGCCACGUCCCCCGCGUCCGUGCCCUGCGCUUUCCUGGGGGAGCUCCGCUCCUGGCAGGAGGUUUUCUGUUUUCCCUUUCCUUUCGGGCUCCAUCUUCACCCUAAUAAUCUGGGAUAAAUGGAAGAGCUGGCCAAUGGUUAUUAACAUCUGACCGGCAGAGGCAAAGAGGAUAAUUGGCCUGAGCCUCAAAGUAGUCUUCGCCUUGAUCCUGAGGCAGAAGGUUAAGGAAGGCUGGUGGUUUGCUUUCACCCCUUGCUAGAGGGAGCUCAAGGUUGGCUGUGUUAAGACUGGCCUUCGCUGAGUUGUGUGAGGGGCUGGCCCUCAACUUUUUCCGGACCUGCCCCAAAUGCAUCAUCGUGAUUCACGGGUGGGCAGGGUAGAAGGGCAGCACACAGAGUUCCCUAGAACUAAAAGGGGGGGGGGACACAGCGCUGUCUACAACUAAAAGGGGGGGGGGACACAGCGCUGUCUACGUAGCACCCUUACUCACUCGCCUUCCCUCUUCCUUCUCUACCUCGUCUCUCUUCUGUCCAUCUUGCCUUCUACUGGCUUUUGGGCAAAGUUCUAAUUGAAAUCUUUGCAUCUCUUUCUCUCUCUCUCAGGCCUACUUUCUUCUAGAAAAGACUCAUUCUUACAAAAAUCAUGAUAGUUUGACAAGCUGAGGGCAAUUACCUGAUCAAUAUCAGUCAGAAUGAGAAGCCCAUGAUGGAUGCCCCUUUGGAUUGAAAGAAAAGCAGCAGAGACAGAUUAAAUUAAGCUCAUCUCAUUUGGCCCACCACCAGAAGCUCCUGAAGCAAGGUAAUUUGACCUUUAAAAACAUGGAGAGACCCUCUGCAUCACCCCAGUAUGAAGAAAGCUCUCAGACAGGGUAAUUAGAAAAUUUCAGUAAUUGCUGGCUUUGCAAGUAAGAAUUUUUUUUCCAAGUCUUUCUGGAGCUCAAACUAGAAACUAAAGGUAAGGCGUGAGCCCAGUUCUUCAGUUCGUGUUGAGCUGGGGGUGGUUGAGCAGGGAGGAUAUUCCACGAGACAAAGUGGCCAUAGGACAGAGUGGAAGCACGUCAUUGCUGCGCUUCAGAUACUGUAACUCCUAGCCUUUUCAACUUGGCUGGUUAAUAAACGUUUUAAUUAUACUUUUAGCUUGAUACUUCUUCUAAAGCCAAAUAGCAAAUCUCUUUAGAUUGUGUUGUCAUUGGCUGUUAACAUAGCUAACAAAGCCAUAAAACUCAGGUAUUUAGCCAUCAUUACUUCUCUGUGGCUCGAAUCAUCAGAAUCCACAACUGCUCUCUCAGAGGAAUUAAUAUACACUCAGGUGGAAACAUCACUGCAAGGCGACCCCCGUCCAAUGACUCUACACGUUUUUAAUGAUUCUGCAGUUACAGAAACGACCCAUGAUUUACACGGCGAUCGCAGCCAUCUUCCUUCCUUGCUGACAUAUCCGAAGAUGUUCUCAACUCUUUCCUCUUCAUCUCAUGCAAAGAUCUGUGGCCCUGGAAACCACAGACCAAACACGCCAGGAUUAAACAUCCAGGGACCCAGCAUGAGACGCUCGGUCCAGAGAAGUCCAGAGUCAGAGAGACCCUUAAGAAAUCAUCAUUUGGGGAGUUCCCUGGUGGCCUAUCAGGUUAGGGAUCUGGCUUUGUCACUGUUGUGGGCUUGGGUCACUGCCAUGGUGUGGGUUUGAUCCUCGGCUCAGGAACGUCAGCAUGCUGUGGGCGUGGCUUAAAAAAAAAAGAAGUUGUCUUUGUAUUCAGUGUCCUCAAACUUUAGAUACAUACGAAUUAUCCAGAAAGCCUGGGAAGCGUCCCCAGGGAUGGGCGUUUUUCACAGGUGCCCCCAGGUGAGGCUGUGCUCGUGGUCCAGAAACCACAGGUUAAGAAGCAGUAACUUUCGUUCUCCUUUCUGUUAGCCUCCUGGUGGUGUGGAAAGGGCACCAGCUUAAGGCGAUGAGACUCUAUCCUGUUUUGCACAGGCCCCCAUGGAAAUGGACUGAGCCUCGUUGAGUCAAAUAGCGCCGUCCACAGCUUUGACGUCCUGCCCCUUCCCUGUGAAGAACCGCCACCUCUUCCUCCAGCCGGUGUCCCUUUGUUUCUCCGGCCAGUCAGUUGAAAUGCAUUCUACCUGCGAAAGUGUUCCUAAGGAAAAUGGUGCAUUUUUAUUUGAUUUUUUUUUUUACCGUUAAAUAUGCAUGCCUCCCUUAUUCACAUAUGAGAGUAGGCUUUCAGCGCCCCCCCUAAGUGUAGGGGGCUUCUUCCCGGGAAGAAGAGACAUUUGUAAAUUGGUUCAUUUUGCUCAGAGGUAAAGCCAAAGGGCUUUGAGGUCGUCGCCUCUCCUCUCCUCUCCUCCCUCAAGCCCGCCCCCGGCCUCCUCGUUAUUCCUCCCACGGGGCAGGCCCCUCCCCCUCUAGGGCCAGCUGUGUUCUCGGUUUGGGGUGCUCUCCUCCUAGGUACCCCGCGACGUCUCUGCUGGAAUUCCGUCUCCUCCCAACCUCCGCCUCUGUGCUCUUCAUCAUCGCAACAGCAUCUGGAUAUGUGUGUGUCCUCUUUCCCAUGGCACCUGUUUCCGUGUGACAUGCUAUUUAAUCUAUUUAAACGUAUCCUUGUUAUUUUCCGCUACUUGCUAAAUACAUUAGAAACUCCACAAAGGUUGGAAUUUUGUUUUUAGGCUAACGCAGACCAGGCAGCUCGGGCCGUGUCUGGGCAUAGUAACGACUUCAUCAGUUUUGCGGGAUGAGAGCAUAAAUGUCCAGUUGCUUAGGGUGGUCUUUUCACGAGCAUUUGCGUCACCGACUAAGACAGGCUGGAGGAGGCCACACUCAAGAAAAGUGGAAAUCCACUUUGUUUAGAUUCACCUAAAUUCGUAUAUGAUUCCGAAAGUGUAUUUGAAUAGUAGGUAUUCUAAGGGGAGCUUGGAUUAUACUACAAAGAUUUUUAACUGCUCAGCUGGCUAUUUCAGACUCUUUCACAUGAAUAUUGAUUACGGUUGUAACUGCGGCCGACGACUCGGAGACACUAGCAAACGGCAGGGAAAUGGUUGGCUGUGUGAGAACCAUAAUUAAAGUUCCCCAGGUUGCAUUGGAAAUAUGGUUAGGGGAGUUCCUGUCCUGGCGCAGCAGACACGAAUCCGACCAGGAACCGUGAGGUUGCGGGGUUCGAUCCCUGGCCUUGCUCAGUGGGUUAAGGAUCUGGUGUUGCCGUGAGCUGUGCUGUAGGUCGCAGACAUGGCUCAGAUCUGGCGUUGCUGUGACUGUGGUGGAGGCCGGCAGCUGCAGCUCCGAUUAGAUCCCCUAGCCUGGGAACCUCCAUAUGCCGCAGGUGUGGCCCUAAAAAGACAAAAGACAAAAGACAAAAAAAAAAAAAAAAAAAAAA
rnacentral:lncRNA from 1 species